rnacentral:rRNA from 1 species
CCUACGGGAGGCAGCAGUGGGGAAUCUUGGGCAAUGGGCGCAAGCCUGACCCAGCAACGCCGCGUGAAGGAAGAAGGCUUUCGGGUUGUAAACUUCUUUUAAGAGGGAAGAGCAGAAGACGGUACCUCUUGAAUAAGCCACGGCUAACUACGUGCCAGCAGCCGCGGUAAUACGUAGGUGGCAAGCGUUGUCCGGAUUUACUGGGUGUAAAGGGCGUGUAGGCGGGCUGACAAGUCAGAUGUGAAAGCCGGGGGCUCAACCCCCGAACUGCAUUUGAAACUGUUGGUCUUGAGUAUCGGAGAGGCAGGCGGAAUUCCUAGUGUAGCGGUGAAAUGCGUAGAUAUUAGGAGGAACACCAGUGGCGAAGGCGGCCUGCUGGACGACAACUGACGGUGAGGCGCGAAAGCGUGGGGAGCAAACAGGAUUAGAUACCCGAGUAGUC